rnacentral:rRNA from 1 species
GGGGCCCAGAGCGCGAACUUACAAUGCCGGCAACGGCGAUAAGGGGACCUCGAGUGCCAGGUUACAAAUCUGGCUGUCGUGAUGCCUAAAAAGCAUUGCAUAGCAAGGGCCGGGCAAGACCGGUGCCAGCCGCCGCGGUAACACCGGCGGCUCGAGUGGUAACCGUUAUUAUUGGGUCUAAAGGGUCUGUAGCCGGCCGGAUAAGUCUCUUGGGAAAUCUGGCAGCUUAACUGUCAGGCUUUCAGGAGAUACUGUCUGGCUCGAGGCCGGGAGAGGUGAGAGGUACUUCAGGGGUAGGGGUGAAAUCUUGUAAUCCUUGAAGGACCACCAGUGGCGAAGGCGUCUCACCAGAACGGACCUGACGGCAAGGGACGAAAGCUAGGGGCACGAACCGGAUUAGAUACCCGGGUAGUCCUAGCCGUAAACGAUACUCGCUAGGUGUCGGCCACGGUGCGACCGUUGUCGGUGCCGUAGGGAAGCCGUGAAGCGAGCCACCUGGGAAGUACGGCCGCAAGGCUGAAACUUAAAGAAUUGGCGGGGGAGCACACACGGGUGGAGCUUGGG